GAUGAACGCUGACAGAAUGCUUAACACAUGCAAGUCAUUGGCGAAGCUGCGCUUGCGCAGUCUAGCCAAGGCGGACGGGUGAGUAACGCGUAAGGAACUUGCCCUGCAGACAGGGAUAACAGACGGAAACGACUGAUAACACCUGGUAUUGUCAGGCUGGCGCAUGCCGGCCUGAUGAAAGGAGACGCUGCAGGAGAGCCUUGCGUCCUAUUAGCUAGUUGGUGGGGUAACGGCCCACCAAGGCGAUGAUAGGUAGCCGGCCUGAGAGGGUGAACGGCCACAAGGGGACUGAGAUACGGCCCUUACUCCUACGGGAGGCAGCAGUGGGGAAUAUUGGACAAUGGGGGCAACCCUGAUCCAGCAAUUCUGUGUGCACGAAGAAGGUUUUCGGAUUGUAAAGUGCUUUCAGCAGGGAAGAAGAAAGUGACGGUACCUGCAGAAGAAGCGACGGCUAAAUACGUG
rnacentral:rRNA from 1 species